rnacentral:rRNA from 1 species
CCCUAGUAACGGCGAGUGAAGCGGCAACAGCUCAAAUUUGAAAUCUGGCCUCCUUGGGUGGUCCGAGUUGUAAUUUGCAGAGGGUGCUUUGGCGUCGGCAGCGGUCUAAGUUCCUUGGAACAGGACAUCACAGAGGGUGAGAAUCCCGUACGUGGUCGCCCGCCUUCGCCGUGUAAAGCCCCUUCGACGAGUCGAGUUGUUUGGGAAUGCAGCUCUAAAUGGGAGGUAAAUUUCUUCUAAAGCUAAAUACUGGCCAGAGACCGAUAGCGCACAAGUAGAGUGAUCGAAAGAUGAAAAGCACUUUGGAAAGAGAGUCAAACAGCACGUGAAAUUGUUGAAAGGGAAGCGCUUGCAGCCAGACUUGCCCGCAGUUGCUCAUCGGAACUCUUGCUCCGAGCACUCUUCUGCGGGCAGGCCAGCAUCAGUUUGGGCGACCGGAUAAAGGCCUCUGUCAUGUAUCUUCCUUCGGGAUGACCUUAUAGGGGAGGCGUAAUGCGGCCAGCCCGGACUGAGGUCCGCGCAUCUGCUAGGAUGCUGGCGUAAUGGCUGUAAGCGGCCCGUCUUGAAACACGGACCAAGGAGUCUAACAUCUAUGCGAGUGUUUGGGUGUCAAGCCCGGGCGCGUAAUGAAAGUGAACGGAGGUGGGAACCCUCUCGCGGGGGUGCACCAUCGACCGAUCCUGAUGUCUUCGGAUGGAUUUGAGUAAGAGCAUAGCUGUUGGGACCCGAAAGAUGGUGAACUAUGCUUGAAUAGGGUGAAGCCAGAGGAAACUCUGGUGGAGGCUCGCAGCGGUUCUGACGUGCAAAUCGAUCGUCAAAUUUGGGCAUAGGGGCGAAAGACUAAUCGAACUAUCUAGUAGCUGGUUCCUGC